rnacentral:rRNA from 1 species
CCAAUAGCGUAUAUUAAAGUUGUUGCAGUUAAAAAGCUCGUAGUUGAAUUUCGGAAUCUGUCCGUUGGUCGGGCUUCAUUGUCAGUACUGGUGUGAUGGGUUCUUACCUUCUGAAUAACCAGCAUGCCAUUCAUUGGGUGCGUUGGGGAAGCAGGACUAUUACCUUGAAAAAAUUAGAGUGCUCAAAGCAGGCUAGUGCCUGAAUAAAUUAGCAUGGAAUAAUAAAAUAGGACGGCAUGGUUCUAUUUUGUUGGUUUCUAGGAUCACCGUAAUGAUUAAUAGGGAUAGUUGGGGGCAUUAGUAUUCAAUUGUCAGAGGUGAAAUUGUUGGAUUUAUUGAAGACUAACUUCUGCGAAAGCAUUUGCCAAGGAUGUUUUCAUUAAUCAAGAACGAAAGUUAGGGGAUCGAAGACGAUCAGAUACCGUCGUAGUCUUAACCAUAAACUAUGCCGACUAGGGAUCGGACGAUGUUAAUUUUUUAAUGACUCGUUCGGCGCCUUACG